rnacentral:rRNA from 1 species
UACGUAGGGUGCGAGCGUUAAUCGGAAUUACUGGGCGUAAAGCGUGCGCAGGCGGUGAUGUAAGACCGAUGUGAAAUCCCCGGGCUUAACCUGGGAACUGCAUUGGUGACUGCAUUGCUCGAGUAUGGCAGAGGGGGUGGAAUUCCACGUGUAGCAGUGAAAUGCGUAGAGAUGUGGAGGAACACCGAUGGCGCAAGGCAGCCCCCUGGGCCAAUACUGACGCUCAUGCACGAAAGCGUGGGGAGCAAACAGG